CGUUCUUUGUGAGCUUUCAAGAAGUCCCACCUACAUCUGAUGAAAAUGUCACCAUGAUAGAGACAACUUUCAGUAACAUUCCUGUCCGUGUAUACAUGCCAACACUAAAGUCAGAGAUACUAAGAACGGGCUUAGUUUAUAUUCAUGGUGGUGGUUGGUGUAUGGGGGAUGCUGCUUUGUUUAAUUAUGACUUUCUGUCAAGAUGAACAGCUGAUAGACUUAAUGCUGUUGUUGUAUCAACCAACUCAUAGAAGACCCAGAUGUCAAGAUCAAACUCAAGCUUCAGUCUUUAAUAUAUCCUGCCCUUCAGACGCUUGACAUG
rnacentral:lncRNA from 1 species